UCUUGCCCAGCCAAGAGCUGUGGAGGUGGCCCUUUAUCUGGGCCCGGGAGCCAGUUCCUGCGGCGCCAUAUACCGGGGAUCGGUCCCAGGCAGCUGGACACUAUGGGCCAGAACAUAGACAUGGGCUGUAAGCUAGAGAGGCCCCCCUCACCCCCACCCUCCCCAUGUGACCUGUUUCUGGCAGGUUGUUGUAAUGGAGAUGUGACAGCUGUCUAGGGGAUUGCUGAAUUUGCUUCCUGACAUGAACAAAGAAUUGAAUGACCAGGGAAGGCAGAAGACAAAGCCACAGAUGAGGUGAAAACAACCUGUCACGAUUGGAGAAGCCUAAGUCUGGAAGUCCAUUAAACAGAGACUGACUUGGAUAAAUAUAGCUCUCACCCCUCAUCAAAGAAGGUUCACUUUGCAAAAGACAAGAGACAGUUACAGAAAACUACAUGUGGUCGAAGUGCAGAGAACAACUGAUUGUGGGGUGCCCAACCCAAAUUGAUAUAUCUACCACACAACUCCCAAGUCUCAAGUUCAUGGGACAUCACAGAGGGGAUGGAACGAUUUCAAGAGCCAGAGGACUGGUACACACAGCUUCUGUCAAUUCAUGAUGGUGGUCACUGUGUCACGUCCAGAAGACAGCAUCUGUUUGCAGUGACAGCAGUCAAUUCGAAGAUGCAAGAUUGGUCAGAGUACCAAGAGUAAGGGACUAUGUGCGAUUUUCAGAGAGGUGGUGAGAUGCAGUUUGGGUGAGUAGAAUCUGUAACCAAGGAUGAUGGUCCUAGUGAGAACGGUGAGAGACAUUUCCCAUAGUGCAUACUUGUAUAUAGUCGGCUUCUCGGGCUGUGUGUGUGUGUGUGUGUGUGUGUGUGUGUGUGUGUGUGUGUGUGUGUGUGUGUGUGUAUGUGUGUGUGUGUGCCCGCUCUCACACUCUGUGUGUGUGUGUAUGUGUUCUCCCUUCCACCCUGUGUGUGUAAUAACAGUUAAAAAAAAAACAGGCCAUGAAUUUGAAAGAGCAAAUAGGGG
rnacentral:lncRNA from 1 species